rnacentral:rRNA from 1 species
GUGCUUACACAUGCAGUCGAACGAUGAAGCCGCUUCGGUGGUGGAUUAGUGGCGAACGGGUGAGUAACACGUGGGCAAUCUGCCCUGCACUCUGGGACAAGCCCUGGAAACGGGGUCUAAUACCGGAUAUGAUCACCGGCCGCAUGGUCUGGUGGUGGAAAGCUCCGGCGGUGCAGGAUGAGCCCGCGGCCUAUCAGCUUGUUGGUGGGGUGAUGGCCUACCAAGGCGACGACGGGUAGCCGGCCUGAGAGGGCGACCGGCCACACUGGGACUGAGACACGGCCCAGACUCCUACGGGAGGCAGCAGUGGGGAAUAUUGCACAAUGGGCGCAAGCCUGAUGCAGCGACGCCGCGUGAGGGAUGACGGCCUUCGGGUUGUAAACCUCUUUCAGCAGGGAAGAAGCGCAAGUGACGGUACCUGCAGAAGAAGCACCGGCUAACUACGUGCCAGCAGCCGCGGUAAUACGUAGGGUGCGAGCGUUGUCCGGAAUUAUUGGGCGUAAAGAGCUCGUAGGCGGCCUGUCACGUCGGAUGUGAAAGCCCGGGGCUUAACCCCGGGUCUGCAUUCGAUACGGGCAGGCUAGAGUUCGGUAGGGGAGAUCGGAAUUCCUGGUGUAGCGGUGAAAUGCGCAGAUAUCAGGAGGAACACCGGUGGCGAAGGCGGAUCUCUGGGCCGAUACUGACGCUGAGGAGCGAAAGCGUGGGGAGCGAACAGGAUUAGAUACCCUGGUAGUCCACGCCGUAAACGUUGGGAACUAGGUGUGGGCGACAUUCCACGUCGUCCGUGCCGCAGCUAACGCAUUAAGUUCCCCGCCUGGGGAGUACGGCCGCAAGGCUAAAACUCAAGGAAUUGACGGGGGCUCGCACAAGCGGCGGAGCAUGUGGCUUAAUUCGACGCAACGCGAAGAACCUUACCAAGGCUUGACAUACACCGGAAAGCGCUGGAGACAGUGCCCCCCUUGUG